UACGUAGGGUGCGAGCGUUGUCCGGAAUUAUUGGGCGUAAAGAGCUUGUAGGCGGUUUGUCGCGUCUGCCGUGAAAAUUCGAGGCUCAACCUCGAACUUGCGGUGGGUACGGGCAGACUAGAGUGUGGUAGGGGAGACUGGAAUUCCUGGUGUAGCGGUGAAAUGCGCAGAUAUCAGGAGGAACACCGAGUGGCGAAGGCAGGUCUCUGGGCCACUACUGACGCUGAGAAGCGAAAGCAUGGGGAGCGAACAGG
rnacentral:rRNA from 1 species